UGAUAUCAGAUAACACUGGCAGUACAAGACAGGAAGAAAUGUCAGCAACCAUGUCAGAGGAUUAUGCUGAAACGGGAGGAAAGGGCCUCAACAUCACUCACUACUUUUUUUCUCAGCCACUACCAGCCCAUCAGCAGAGCCUGCCACUGAAGAGUGGAAAAUUGAGCCUGAUCUUGAAACAGCUGCCCGCUGUUUCGAAGACAUAUCUUAAAGAAUGCUGAGGACAAACCAGACCUAGUUGUUACACUAGAUCUACACAGCUGUGAAAAGGAUCGAGAACGGGAAAUGUUAACUUUUUAUAAACGUCCAAAUAUUGAUUGGACAAGUCCGUUUACUGUAAAACUGAAAGGAGAUGCUGCAUUAGGGGAUGGAGUAACACGGCAUUUUUUCACAUUGGUAAUGGAUAAGCUCCACAAUGGAUUUGAACUGGACAUUGAUAACUGUGGAAAAAAACACUUUUAUUCAACGGAG